rnacentral:rRNA from 1 species
UUAGAACGAACGCUGGCGGCGCGUCUUAAGCAUGCAAGUCGAACGGCAAGAGGUAGCAAUACCUCCUAGAGUGGCGGACUGGUGAGUAACACGUGGGUGACAUACCCUUCAGAUGGGGAUAGCUAUUAGAAAUAGUAGAUAAUACCGAAUACGAGCACAGGGGUUAGAGAUCUGUGAGGAAAGGAGCUAAGGCUCCGCUGAAGGAAUGGCCUGCGGCCCAUUAGCUAGUUGGUGAGGUAAGAGCCCACCAAGGCGAUGAUGGGUAUCCGGCCUUAGAGGGUGAACGGACACAUUGGGACUGAGAUACGGCCCAGACUCCUACGGGAGGCAGCAGCUAAGAAUAUUCCGCAAUGGACGAAAGUCUGACGGAGCGACGCCGCGUGGAUGAAGAAGGCCGGAAGGUUGUAAAAUCCUUUUGAAACUGAAGAAUAAGCGUUGUAGGGAAUGACAGCGUGGUGACAGUAGGUUUUGAAUAAGCAACGGCUAAUUACGUGCCAGCAGCCGC